UAUUUUUGAAGUCUGUAAAAUUGAUUGCUUGACAGUAUAAGCAUCAAUACACAGUUGUGACACCUGAAUUGUCUCCAUAUCAAGUGAAAUAGCAAUUGAUGCUAAUCGAGAUGCCAACACAAUCUUUACACUCUUAGCCACCUGCCCCAAAAGAGUUUUUUCAAUACGGGCUUUAAUCAUCCUUGCUGCAGUUAAAUUACCAGCAGACAGAAGUUUUGCAGUAAUAAUAGGAGUAGUGAUCUUUUUUGCUGCAUUUAUGAUUUCUUUUAUUCGGGGAACUCCAAGUGUAACAUUCAUGCUUGCAACUCCAGCAAA
rnacentral:misc_RNA from 1 species